UACGUAGGCAGCGAGCGUUGUUCGGAGUUACUGGGCGUAAAGGGUGUGUAGGCGGUGCUCUAAGUUCGGUGUGAAAUCUCCCGGCUCAACUGGGAGGGUGCGCCGGAAACUGGAAUGCUUGAGCGUGGGAGAGGAAAGCGGAAUUCCUGGUGUAGCGGUGAAAUGCGUAGAUAUCAGGAGGAACACCUGCGGUGUAGACGGCUUUCUGGACCAUUGCUGACGCUGAGACACGAAAGCGUGGGUAGCAAACAGG
rnacentral:rRNA from 1 species